CUCGUUCAUCACUUUCGUGGGGAGCUCAGGCCGUAAAGCCUCCGGUGGGGGUGGGCUAGGGCUGCUGGUAGGUAGGUAGGUGGGGGGUACCUGGUGGGGGGCGCGGUGCCGGAGGGCGGCAGGAGGAGGAGGAGGAGGAGGCCGCGACGGCGCCGCCGCGGCCGCUGGAGCGGCCUCAAGAACGACGGCGGCUCGGCGGAGGGCGACCUCCUGUAGGAGAAGACGCAGCUGCACCUGCGGCUCCGCGCGAGGCUCUACUUCCAGCGGCGGCGCAGGCGCAGGGGGCGGAGGAGGCCGAGGUGGCCGAGGGGGCCGGGGCCGCGCGAGUACCUAGGCCGCCGCGGGGGGGCGGGGCGCGCGGGCCGCCACGCCGCCUACCUGCGGCAGUUCGUCCGCGAGUACGAGAAGGAGGUGUCGUUCGAGUGGUACACGGGGCUGGUGGCGAAGCGGAAGCGGAGGGAGGCGCUGUGGCAGAGGAACUAUUCGUUUCUUAAGUGGUCACUACGACGAAGAAGUUAACUAUGUUAGGCCAGCAACCGACGAUGACUUUGCUCUAUACGUCACCGACUAGAGUGAGUAGAGAAGUUCUAUCGCAUGCUCCUUCCCUUUUCCCGUCUUUGCGUUCCCGCUGAUGAAUCUCACCACGAGUAGAUGACGGCCAGGAGUUGGUUCGGGGUGGUAGACACCGGGCAUUUCGGUUUCUUGAAGUGGUACCUGUAUCAGAUAGACGUGCUGUUCGGAUGACGACUAUUGACGGGUGUUUUACACAUACUGCGCGACCAACUACGGGAGCUCGUACAGUCGGUCAUGCUCCCGAUGUAAGAACUCUCGCCGGUUCCCGAACGGGCCCAGGACAAGGCGGUCUAUACGUAGUAGAAUAGUGUGGGGAACGAUGCGACGUACGUUCUACUGGAACUAUAUGGGUUCGUUCAACAAUUCUUUUAAGACCGGUAACUUCCACACGUCUCGCUUCUACCGCGAGGCCGGAGGCCGUCGGUCAUCACUUAGUGGGAUCAAGUUACCAUACACAAGUACUUCGGACAAGACACACAACAUUUCCCGGUUCGUCUAUGUGAAAAUGACGACACCUCUCUAACCCAACCGUAACUUGUACAUAUUUAACGAGGAAAUAAACGUAGUAUAGUCAUUGACGUUAGAUGGAACAUAAAGGCGUCACAGCACUUGGCCACUGCUUAGACUAUGAUCGUAAAAAACGACCAAAGACAUAACACGUCCCCCAAAGAAAACGUAUCUCUUUACAGUACGUAGAUCAAUCCAUCAAUGUCGUGGAAUGUACUUAAAUUGGACAAAAAAGAGACCAAUAUAUGUAAGUCUUCUAGACUUUACAACUUACCUAUUAAGUGUCUUUAGAGUUUUAAGUAGCAACACCUGC
rnacentral:rRNA from 1 species